GCAAGUCGAGCGGAAACAGAGAUAGCUUGCUAUCAGAUGUCGAGCGGCGGACGGGUGAGUAACGCGUAGGAAUCUACCUAGUAGUGGGGGAUAGCCCAGAGAAAUUUGGAUUAAUACCGCAUACGCCCUGAGGGGGAAAGGAGGGGACUCAUUUAUGAGCCUUUCGCUAUUAGAUGAGCCUGCGUAAGAUUAGCUAGAUGGUAGGGUAAUGGCCUACCAUGGCGACGAUCUUUAGCUGGUUUGAGAGGAUGAUC
rnacentral:rRNA from 1 species